UGGGGAAUAUUGGACAAUGGGGGAACCCUGAUCCAGCCAUGCCGCGUGGUGUGAAGAAGGCCUUAUGGUUGUAAAGCACUUUAAGCGAGGAGGAGGCUACUGAGACUAAUACUCUUGGAUAGUGAACGU
rnacentral:rRNA from 1 species